AUAACAUCUCAUAAUAACAUCUCUAUUGGAAUAUGGGUUCUAAGUUCCGGAUUAGAAUUACAGGAACACAUCCUGGCCUGAUGGACCUGGUGAAAAUAUUCUUUCUCCUCAAUCCCACAUCUCUGAAAUGCUGAAAACCAAGAGGACCAUAGGAAUGUUUGACUAAGAAUGCUAUCUCUGCUAUAUUCACUGUUAACCAGAUGCUGAAUUGCAAGCUCGAUAGACUGCUGGGAAACAAAAUAUUUUCUACCAGACUAUUAAUAUCUGCACAACUGAAUGGGGAGAGCUGAUUGUCUCCGACUUUAUCAUUUGUGAUAUUAUAUUUGUUUAUUUCCUGCUUCUUCCACUGGAAUAACCACUUCAUUGGUGCAGAAGUUGGUUGGCCUGUCCCUUUUCUCAUGUGGCCUGAUUUCAAGGCCACAAUCAAACAGGACACCUGCUUUUCCUGCUUCAAGAAUCAGGCACUGCAUGGUUCAAAGCUGCAUAGGAAGAUAAAUGGAAGAACAACAAAGUGGAUGAGAAAGAUCCUGCUUGGAUCAAAAAGUGUCCUUGUCAAAUGACAUUAUAUAAAUAUUUCUGAACAGGAAUGAACAUUUCUACUACUACUUUUUGGCAUUAAAGUAUUUUUAAUUAAGGUGUUCAGUAGCUCACUGUGAUUGUUGAGAGGUCCACAUGGGGACCAAGGUACACAGCUGGUAAGCACAUCUUUAUAAAUGAAUUCAGAAGCACAAUUCUGUGAGGCAUUUGAAAGCAGCCACCAAUAGUCUGAAAUCUCUACUGGAACUGGGUUUGUCACCUGUGGAAAAGUAAUUCUGAUUAAGCAGCACUGAGAUUAGUCAUUCUGGCCUCUACUGACUUGGAGUUGUUCAAGCUUCACUAGAAUCUUCCCCAUCUUUUGGCACCUGAGUGUUUUACAUACCUGUGACCAUAAACUGAAACUGAACCAAUAGAAUUGACAGCCCAGAAAGCAAACACUAUUGUUGGCAGUUGAGGGGAAGGACUCUCAGAGGAGGACCAAGUUUAUAUGACAACUCCACUGAGGUGAAUCACCACUAAAGGAAACAGACUCUAGCGUAUGCAAGCUGUCUUUACUUAUUACGCAGAGUGUCUAAAAUGAGCAAUUAAUAUUAAAAGUUUCCUUAUAACAUCUGA